GAUGAACGCUAGCGGCACGCUUCAUACAUGCAAGUCGAGGGGCAGCAUAAAGUACUUGUACUUUGAUGGCGACUGGCGAACGGGUGCGUAACGCGUAUGCAACUUACCUUUUACUAGAGAAUAGCCAAGAGAAAUUUUGAUUAAUGCUCUAUACUCUUUUUAACUCACAUGAGUUUUUAAGAAAAGCUCCGGCGGUAAAAGAUGGGCAUGCGUCCUAUUAGCUUGUAGGUGAGGUAACGGCUCACCUAAGCUCCGAUAGGUAGGGGUCCUGAGAGGGAGAUCCCCCACACUGGUACUGAGACACGGACCAGACUUCUACGGAAGGCAGCAGUAAGGAAUAUUGGACAAUGGAGGAAACUCUGAUCCAGCGAUGCCGCGUGAAGGAAGACGGCCCUAUGGGUUGUAAACUUCUUUUAUACAGGAAGAAACCUUUCCACGUGUGGAAAGCUGACGGUACUGUAAGAAUAAGGAUCGGCUAACUCCGUG
rnacentral:rRNA from 1 species